CACUUCACUACAACCCAAACACAGCCUGUAUUGUUUAGUUUGACUUCUGCUUGAACCCUAUAAAAAGGAUAUUAUAUCAUGUGUGGUCUUUUGGAAGCGUUUUUGGACCCAGCGUAGUUAGUUCCUUCGUGUCACACGUAGGUGUCAUUUUUGCCACAGUGUCAUAGCAUGUGACCCUCUGAGCCUUCUUUCCAUAGCUGCUUCUGUUUUGUGCCAGUUCCCCAAAAGUGAACUACAUCCCUAAUGCAUGUGGAUCAAAAGGCCUGGCAUCAAAAAGUGCUUUGGGAAUGUUUGAACACCACAGCUGGGAUGUAGGUGUGGGAAAGGUCCCAUCCCUCCUUUUCUUCCCAUUUUCACCUUUUUUUUGGGUCCCUGGAAAAUGUUGACCUGACAUUAUACUGUUUUUCCUUUGCAAGUACUGAGUGACAGACACUGCCCCACUUCACUGGAGCUGAACAGUGAACAACACACACACAGGACAUCUUCUAGUGGAGGAUAUAGGUAACAAGUGACCACAAUGACAGAGGGUGAUAGAGGGAUACUCAGAGAGGUGGGGUGACCGACCGGAUAUGUGUCUCUGAGCAUCGAGCCCACAGCCCCUGAAUGCGACCAUUUGUAUGGAGCAGUAAUGGCAUCCCACAAGGUGGUUUUGUUUGUUUGUUUGUUUUUCAGUUUUGUUUUAAAAUCAAUAGCUUGAGUGAGGAACCUUCCACCAUCUCACGUCUCCAUCGUGUGCGCCUCCACUGUCUGUGGCUUUUCCAUUUUAGGUGGAGAGAAUGUUUGAUCCCAGCCCGGUUUCUCUCACCUGCUUCCGGAAUAGCGGGUCAGGGCUGCAGAGCUGCUCUGGGUCAGGGCUGCAGAGCUGCUCACCAAUUUGGUCUGAGCCCAACAGUGAAUACGAAAAAAGUCCCGGGGCCAAGAGAGCUUUGUCACUCCCAGGCCAAGUGAGGAUUCCCUGCGGGGAGGGGCACCGGCCUUUAGUGGCUGCUCAGCUGGAACUCCCAUCUGCCACUAUGGGAUCACCUCGGUCUGAGGGUGGAGGGGGUGCCGUGGGAUCACUGGGUUUAAAGCCGUGGCCACGAUGGGACCCAAACACUGAGUAAUGAGAUCCUCAUGACUCGGGCUGGAAGCCGCAGCCUAAUGAAGGGGCAAGGCUGCCUUUAAGCGCGUUAUUUUUGUUUCCACUUUCAGAGGUCAUGUUUGUGGCCCGUGUGUUCUAGGUGAGGAAUUGUCCCUUCUUGGCCACACUUGAGCUAAAAGUAGGUGUGGGGGAUGGGCAGCGAGACGUGGUGGAGGCUGACUCAACUCUGCCUGGCCUGUCACUCCCACACUGUCCCCUGGAAGCUGGAUGAGACGCCCUGCCCUUUCCCACCUGUCCUGCAGAAGGCUGAAGGGGGGCGGGCCAGGGUACCCCCUUGCCCAGGUCAGUGACAUGGGUAAUGAAACAGCCCUCCAGGACUACCCCCGCCCGCCGCCCACAAAAAGAGCUGACCCUCCAGUGAUUCCCGAUGGAGAUGUCACCGGUAACUUCCAUCUCUCAUUGGUAUCCAGGGGGUGGGCUGGGAUCCCAGAAGACACUGCCUUCACUCCCUGUCGGUCACUUUGACAUGACUAUGGUGCCCAGGGCCCUGGGACAGCGCCACCUGGAAGGGUUCCACCCAGUACUGCCAGGGGGCAGUGGGGACCCCGACACAGUGCCUCCUCCUAAAGGGUCCUCGCCCGGCGGCCUUCCCCAUGCGUCCUCCCUCCCUCCCUCGUGGGCUCUUCCUCUCUGAAACUGCAUCUUCUAGAACUUUCCCCUGGUUUUGUGAUUCAUCCCCCCACUUUUGGGGGCAGCUGCCCUGUUCCUGUUUCACUCUGUGUUGUCAGGUCACUUCCUUGCGGCCCAGCCAGUGAGUCCUCCCCAGACGGCAGCCGCUAGGGAAGGCCUCCGUGGCUGGCCUGCUGGUGGACAGGCCCUCCGUUUACCCAAGGGACCCACAGGCGGAAGACGGCGCCGGUGGUACCUGCUGCGAGGUCCGCUGUCCGCAGGCAGGUGCGGGCCAGCAGUGACCGACAAGGACCAGGACACUUCGGAAGCAGGGACAGAAGUUCUCCCUCAACAGUGUGCCUGCUCCAGCCCUGGAGGGGCCGGUGGGCACCCUCGGUUUGGAUGUGACCCCGCGUUCCAUGUGUGCUGCCCUGAGGGUCCUUAUGCCUGUCCACCCCCCCACACGCUGCCCAGCCAGGUGUGAGGUUGUAGUGGGUAUGAGGACAUCCAGAAUCUCAGAAAUGGAAAAUAAUGGGAAAAUAGGUUUUUCAAGUUGGGGUGGAGGGCAGGGGACCCUCUUUCAAGCCUUGAGGUGCGGGCAGCUUCUUGCCUCCACGUGAUGGAGACAUGAUUAAGAGCUGAUGGCGGAGUGCAGCCCAACCUCGUCCUGGCUGGAGACGGGAGGCUGGGUGGACUGCACACCACACACCACCCACUCCGAGGGGCAGCUGGGCUGCCACCUGGGCUCUUACUUGCUAAGCUAACGACAGCUAGCCGAGGAGAGGGGGCGUGAACUGCCCGGCCUGCGCACCCAGCUUCCCUCCACACUGGCAGCUGGGAGAGUGGCUCUGGGGUUCCAGCCUUUCCAUCGCUGCUCCUGGCUCCUGAGAAAUGCCGUGGAUUGGAGUCGGCCCACAGACCACAUGCCUCAACGUCCCACGCCAGGGCCACUGCUGCUGCUCUGUCCAUGCGGACGGGGGCCUGAGCCACAGGCCCGGCACUCGAGUGUUCACUCCCCAAAACGAGGCAACCUAGAAGGGGAGACCUGCCCGAGGUCACGGCCCACCAGCAGCAGCAUGAGGACGGGACCCUUGUCUGCUGCCCCUCACUUCUUAGCUGUCCGUCCAGCCCCUUCCUCAGCCUGUGGGUGGGGAGGGAUCGCUGGGGGGUUGCGGGAGGGGGCGGGAAUCCUCUCAGCAUCUCUCCCUGCCCCCCGCCCCGCCCCCUGCCCCGCCUGCUCCUGCCCCUGCCCCCGCUCCGGGCUCUAGGCUUGGGCUUGCAGGACUGAGCUUGGCUCCUUCUUGGGGUCUUGGCGGAGAAAGUGCAGAGCAGCAGUUCCCUCCACAAAGCCGCACUGUUCUCAGCAAAUCCUCCCAGGAUGCAUUUUUUUCAAAUGAUUCAGCAGCACGUGAAUGGGAAGGGCCCGAGCCCAAGGCUUCGGAGACUGUGACCAAGGCCUCUGGCAUGAGAUCCUGCUGGGCCCACAGGGAAAAGGGGGGAAAGGUGGCAGGGCUUGAGUCAGGGGUCCUAUCUGGGUCCUGGGGGGUCGGGAGGGCAGCGUGGAAGCUGGGCGGUGAGUGCUGCAGCUUCUCUCUACAUCACCAAGGCGCUUUUAGAGAUGCUUCCCUCCUGCUCCCAAGGGGAGCCAAAGCAAAGGGACAGGAAAUGGAGAUGGGAGAGCUGGUCUCCAUGGAGACGGGGCAUCCAGUGGACAACGGCUCACGUGUACGUGCUAGAAUCUUGAACAGCCCUGGGCAGGCCUGGCAGAUCCCCAGGUACCGGGCUCAUGGGCAGCGUGGACCAGGGCUGGGGCUGUACUGCUGUUUCCUGUUGUCUGUCCUGCACCCGUCACUCUCCCUGCCCCACCCUCAACUCCUGAAAAAACACAUCUGCUCUGAGCAGUUGUCAUUCCAGGCGUUUUUGACCCUGGCCUGAGUCAUGCUGGCCAAGUCUUGCCCUCACACUGGACACCACAGCCCUGCCGCGGACAUCUGUUGGCCCCUGGGGUUGGGGAGGUUUGGGGGACCUGGGGGUGGGUCUGGUCUCUCACAGCUGCUCCAGGGAUGGAAGAAGCCCUCCGUUCCCUGCAUCAUCACAGGGCUGUUUUUAAUUACUUCAUUUCCCUGAAAGCAGCGAAUUUGGAGGAGGUCUGCUCCACCCCUGGCUGAACGGGGCCUGGCAUUGAGGCCAGGGAAGGCAGAGCUGAGUGCUUGGGGAGAGCCCCCGGGGCCAUGUCCACCAUGGGGCAGCUGGAAAGGUGAAGGCUGGGUGCACCGUGAGGCCAGAGGGGCAGGUGGGGCUAGAUGCUCCCACGGCCUUCUGGGCACCAGGCCAGCGCUGACGCCAUGCAUUCCUUGUGACAUCUCCCAGGCUGCUCGGCCACAUCCCGUUUCCACGUGCCGUUCUGUUGGGGGGGGGGCGUGGCCCCGAAACCUGGGGAGUCCCAGCAGUCUGCAGUCCAUGUGAGCACGACCCUCUUUCUAAAUCAUCAUCCACCCGCCCCCUGGCCCUGUAGCUGGUGCGGUCUGCCCCCACCCCAAAGAAGCGGAUGCAGCCCACUGCAAAGGCUCACAGUGUCUUUAUCAUGCUCCCCACAGCCCACUGAGAUGGUUUAGUUACUUGUAAGCAGUUAGGCAUCCCUCAGUAAUCCAGAGCAGGGCUCUGAAAAGCAUGAUCACUUCAUUACAGCUUUCGUGGGGCAGAGCAGCAGGCUGUGUGUCUGGGGUGUGGGCACAGGAAGCGGGGCGCCCCUCAUUUCUGACUCCACCCUUAAGGGCUAGUGGUGGCCAGGAUGCAGGCAGCCCAGUCCACCCUCCACUGGGACUUGGGGCAAGUUCAUCAAAAUUCAAAGGUUAAGGGGCCUCCGCCAGGUCAACCAGCCAUACAGUGUCACUGUGUCCACCCUAAAGGGACAAGAGACUCAUCCCAAGAGGCAGCCUCGGGAUGUAACUGCAGGCAUUAAGCGAGGACUUUGGUAGCUCUGUGAUUUGAGGGUGUAGAUGUCUACCCUCGUGCUGUCCCUUCUCUGGAGAGUGUGGACAAGAGUGUGGAACCCUCCAGCCCUCCCCAAGUACCCCAGCAGUGCAGAGCACACCUGGAGAGCUGGGGGUCCGAAGCGUGGCCUGGAGUAAGUGGGGGCUGGGUCUUGUGUGGGACAAAAUCGUUGCUUUCUGAGUUCCUCUGAAAUGGUUGGUGUGUAGUUUUUCCCAGAGACAAGGAAACGGACCAAGUGACCCUCUACUCUCAAACCAGGGCUCGCGUUCCAGGCACAGCAGCAGAGCGGCCCCCACCCACUCUUGAUUGGGGCCAGUAGGGUCUUUGGCAAAUGUGCCGGCCAGUCGAAAGCCCCUGACCUCUCCCGCACAGCGGAUGGCUUUGAGACCGUGUGCGCCUCACCGGAGGGACCACUGGGCGUCUUCCAUGAGGCUGCGACCAAGACUGAAGAGUAGGGCGGCGAGGUCCGUGUUAAUGCCUGUCUCGCUGGGCGCCCCUUCCAGAUCUGAGCUGGAGGCUGCAGUAGGUGGGCGGGGAGGUGACGGUGGCCUCUGCUGCUGCUGAGGCACCCUUGCUGCCCUGAGUCAGUGUAGACACCUAAGACUCAGAUGGUUCAGGGUUUUUUUGUUUUUUUUUUUUUCGCGGUAUGUGGGCCUCUCACUGUUGUGGCCUCUCCCGUUGCAGGGCACAGGGUCUGGAUGCGCAGGCUCAGCGGCCAUGGCUCACGGGCCCAGCCGCUCCGCGGCAUGUGGGAUCUUCCCAGACCGGGGCACGAACCCGUGUCCCCUGCAUCGGCAGGCGGACUCUCAACCACUGCACCACCAGGGAAGCCCGGGUCAGGGUUUUGACCUUGUAUUUAGAUGUUUUUCCGAAUCCUGGAGAUUCCCGCACCUGUUGCAGGCAGGCCCGUGAUUUUUCCCUGCGCUGGAAGCUCUGCCUGGGCAGGCUCCGGGGUCUGGGGAUUCUGGGGUGUUGAGUGUGUUGGUGCAAGGCCGUGAAUGUCUAAAAAUCAGAGUCCUGACAUCCACAGUAUUACCGUGCUCUGGGGUCGGGAGCCCACGCCGAGCAGCGUAGCCCCGUUGGGAAAGGUCCUACAGGAUACAUUCGCACGUGUAGCAUAUGGCAUUCCUCUGGAGAGAAGUUGGGCCCGUGGGAAGACAGUCAGGAUAAUUCAGUUUAUUUCAGUGUGAAAUAAAUGAACUUCUGACAGGCAGUUCUCUUUCGGGGCCUGGGUCCCCCAUAGACUAUGUCCUUGGCUUGUUGUUCAUCUCCAUGGCUUCCCCGAUAAGGUCUGCAGACACAUGAGGACUCAGACGUUGGCAGGGUGUGGGAGAGACAUAAAUCGGCCUGGGCUGGUCGAGUGUGCUGCUCCUCUGGACCGGCCCUGGCCACAGGGUAUGCUGGGGACACCCAAGGUUUCCUGCCAGCCUCCUCCCUGUCCCCUCGCCCCAGGGCAGUGGCACAGUCUGGCCUCCGUUGGUUUCGCCUGGGCUGUUGUCAUCUCUCAGAGUCUGAACAUAGCCUGUGUUCUUUGGAUCGUUGUCCGCAACCUUGACUUUCCACCCACCCCGUUCUUUUCCAUCCCAAAUCUGGCUGGGUGGACUAGGGAUUGUUUUUGCAGGCUCCUAGUGGGGGGAAGUGACGUCAUGUGGUGUCCACAGCCUGAGGGGUGGGGGCAGGGGCUCUGCGGUUGCCUGUGCUUUGAAUUAAGUCCACGGCUGUGCAUUCCAGUAGCCAACAUCUGGCAGUGAAUUCAUCAGCCAGUGUAUCACCCUUGAUCUCAAACCCAGAUGUUGUGUUAACGGCAGAAGAGAAAGAAGAAAAAAUCUGAGCAGCCCAGGGAGAGGCCAUCAUUUUUGCGUCCAAAGCGGUUAGAACAGGAAUCUUUAUAAAGACUCUGCCUCCUACUGCUGCCUCUGGUUCCCCAGGGGCAGGAUGGUGGAGCAGAGCUGCUUACUCGGGGGGUGGACAGGACCUAGACUGAUCCCCCAACCCAGGGCCAAACACCAGGCCCAGCAUGCAGUAGGUGUUUGGUAAACAUGAGUCCAUGCCUCCAUUUUAACUUCUUCCCAGAUUCUUUGGGUCUCUUUGCUUCUCCCCAGCCCUGUCCUUUAAAUGGCCUGGGACUCAGAGAGGCCCAUCCCUCACUUGGAGUGGCCUCCAGUCUGGAGCUCAGGGUUAUGCCCAUUGUGCUAGGUGCAGAGAACACAUUUCUGGAAAGCUCUUCUUGCCGCCUCCUCUGUCCGCCACUGGCAGUUGGAAAGAGUGUGCUUCUUGGUUUUCCUGUCCAUCAUCUAUCUUCCUGCCUGUGUUGGAUCUCCUCGAAGGCAGGGACUGUUACUGAAGACCUUUCCACACUUUACCCCUUUUUCCCUUUGGGCAACAGGAGGGGGGCCCAUGCUUUUUGGAUUUACACUUAAAAGACAGUCCAACUCGGAACUCUGAGCUUGGCAUGGAAGACAGUCCCCACUCUGGCUCGUGCCGGGGGCAGAAAGCUGAGGGUCGGGAUGUCCGCAGCCGAGUUGGCUGGGGUCCACUGUGCGCUGCUGCCCCGCCCUCCCUCCCCUGUGGGGCCCCUCAGGUCUCCUAUCUGUAACUUGCCUGUGGGAACCUCUGGCUGUGAUCAAUUCAUCAGCCAAUGCUUUGCCUGUGUCCUCCCCCCCCACCCCAUGCAGAGUGGUGCUGAGCCCAGAUGGUACCUGCUGCCCUGAGCAGCUCAGCGCUGUGGAUCCCUCGCACCUACGUGGACUGAGAAUCAUCCCUGCGACAUCUCUCAGGGACACGUUGAGGACAGAUUAGGAGGCUGACAAGAUAGACCUUUUAGAUGGAAGACCCCCAACCUAAAUGUGAUGGGGCCCCUCGUAGCCGCAGAUAUAUACACACUGGGGAGAAAGAAGAAAAGCCCCGGAGUACUCAAGCGUGACAUCAACAGCGAGCUGCUGUUCAAGUCAGUGACGGCCCCAGCAGCCCCCCCUCGUGAGGGACGAGAGCUUCUGCUCUGGCGCCCUGUCGACAGAGGGCUCUAGCUUCACUCCUGGUCUCCCCCUCGGGAUGGAGUCCGAUGCUGUACCCAGGGCUGGGGUCAUCUUGCCCCUCACCUCCCACCUCCCUGCUGCCCCUUGCCCCCUCCUUAGAGCCAGGACAGUCUUUCGGGGACUCUGCUCACCUCUCUGUCUUUGUU